rnacentral:rRNA from 1 species
UUUGUUACUUCAAACCAAUCGGACUUCGGUCUGACAUCAAGUGAUAUUGAACAAUUUAGCUGAUCGCACGGUCUAAGAACCGGCGACAUAUCCUUCAAAUGUCUGCCUUAUCAACUUUCGAUGGUAGAUUAUGCGCCUACCAUGGUUGUAACGGGUAACGGAGAAUCAGGGUUUGAUUCCGGAGAGGGAGCCUGAGAAACGGCUACCACAUCCAAGGAAGGCAGCAGGCACGCAAAUUACCCACUCCCGGCACGGGGAGGUAGUGACGAAAAAUAACAAGCUGGUCUCAAUGAGUUCCAGCAUUGUAAUGGGAACAAUUUAAAUCUUUUAUCGAGGAUCUAUUGGAGGGCAAGUCUGGUGCCAGCAGCCGCGGUAAUUCCAGCUCCAAUAGCGUAUAUUAAAGUUGUUGCGGUUAAAAAGCUCGUAGUUGGAUCUCGGGUCCCGGCCUGCGGUUCACCACACGGUGUCUACUGCCCGUCCGGACCUACCUGCCGGUUUUCCCCUGGUUCUCUUCGUUGAGUGCCUCGGGUGGCCGGAACGUUUACUUUGAAAAAAUUAGAGUGUUCAAAGCAGGCG